rnacentral:lncRNA from 1 species
CAGGCAUGACCUCCCAUGUAUGUUACUGGAGAUGGUGCCACCCAUGCACAGAACUUCCCAGCAUAGGAAAAGAAAAAAUCUCCAUCCCCUGGUGAAAGAUCUCUAAAAGGAGAAGUACAAAACAUUGCUCAGAGAAAUCAGAGAUGAUCCAAACAAAUGGAAAAACAUUCCAUGCUCAUGAAUGGGAAGAAUCAAUAUUGUGAAAAUGGCCAUAUUGCUCAAAGCAAUUUAUAGAUUCAAUGCUAUUCCUAUUAAAGUACCAUUGACAUUCUUCACAGAACUAGAAAAAACUAUUCUAAAAUUCAUAUGGAACCAAAAAAGAGUCUGAAUAGCCAAGACAAUCCUAAGCAAAAAGAACAAAGCUGGGGGCAUCAUACUACAGGUCUAUAGUAACCCAAACUGAAUGGUACUGAUAUAAAAACAGAUACAUAGAUCAAUGGAACAGAAUAGAGAUCUCAGAAUUAUGACCACACAUCUAUAACUAUCUGAACUUCAAAAAACCUGACAAAAACAAGCAAUGGAGAAAGGACUCCCUAAUCAAUAAAUUGUGCUUGGAUAACUGGUUAGCCAUAUACAAAAGAUUGAAACUGAACCCCUUCCUUACCCCAUAUACAAGAAAUUAACUCAAGAUGGAUUCAAGACUUAAAAGAAAAACCUAAACUAUAAAAAACCCUGGACGACAACCUAGGCAAUACCAUCUUGCACAUAGGAAUGGGCAAAGAUUUCAUGAUAAAGAUGUUAAAAGCACUUGCAACAAAAGCAAAAAAUUGACAAAUGUGAUCUCAUUAAAUUCAAGAGCUUCUGCACAGCAAAGGAAACUAUCAUUAGAGUGAACAGACAACCUGAAGAAUGGGAGACAAUUUUUGCAUCUAUCCAUCUGACAAAGGUCUAAUAUCCAGCAUCUAUAAGAAACUUAAACAAAUAUACAAGAAAAAAAAAACAAGUAACCCCAUUAAAAAGUGAGCAAAGGACAGGAACAGACACUUGUCAAAAGAAGGAAGACAUGUGGCCAACAGUCAUAUAAAAAAAAUCAACAUUGCCGAUGAUUAGAGAAAUGGAAAUCAAAACCACAAUGAGAUACCAUCUCACACCAGUCAGAAUGGCUAUUAUUAAAAGUAAAAAAAAAUAACAUAUGCUGAGGAGGCUGCAGAGAAAAAGUAACACUUAAGUACUUCUGUUGGGAGUUUAAAUUAGCUUAACCAUUGUGGAAGAUAGUGUGGCAAUUCCUCAAAGACCUAAAAACAGAAAUACCAUUUGACCCAGCAAUCCCAUUACUGGGUAUAUAACCAAAGGAAUAUAAAUCAUUCUAUCAUAAAGACAUGAACAUGUGUGUUCAUUGAAGCACUAUUCACAAUAGCAAAGACAUAGAAUCAACCUAAAUACCUGUCAGUGAUAGAGUGGGUAAAGAAAAUGUGAUACAUAUACUCCAUGGAAUACUAUGCAUCCAUAAAAAAUGAGGUUAUGUCCUUUGCAGGAACAUGGAUGGAGCUAGAGUCCGUUAUCCUUAGCCAACUAACAUAGGAAGAGAAAACCAAUACUGCAUGUUCUCACUUAUAAGUGGAAACUAAUUAUGAGAACACCUGGACACAUAUAGGGGAACAACACACACUGGGGCCUAUUGGAGGGUGAAGGGUGGAAGGAAGAGGAUCGCGAAAAAUAACUAAUGGGUAGUAGGCUUAUUACCUGGGUGAUGAAAUAAUCUGUACCACAAACCCCCAUGACACAAGUUUACCUAUAAAGCAAACCUGCACAUGUACCCCUAAACCUAAAAUAAAACUUAAAAAAUU